UAUCUCGUCUGUCGCCGGCUGCCAGGCUCCCCGCCAUGAUGGUUGCAGAGUUCAACCCUCAGAGAUGGCCACCAUGAUGGAACGGUGACAAAGACAAUUGGUGUCCCUGUCCCCUCCAGGAAACCGCUUAUCACGGGCUAGGAGGCCGCCAUGUCUGCAGGUGGCAGGUCUACGGUUACCUUCUCCAAGCAGAUCCUGGACAGCACUGGGCACCACAGCAGACCACUUCCUGUUCUCCUGAGCCCUCCUCGUACCAUCAUAGGUGCCAGAUAAGCCACUGGGCACGGUGUCAUUAGCUCCUCACGUCUAAGGUAUGGUGGAGUAGAUCUGAAGACGCUACCCCAGAGCCCUCACCACACACCCUCCCUGAUGGACUGUUUUCCGGGAAGAAGUACCUGUAAUGGCACUCUCCUGUGUGUGACGUGGGCAAUGGCGUCCUACUGUCUCUCCGGUGCACUCUAAGCCUGGUAAUUCUGGGUUCCAAGCCUGUCCACUGCAGCUCUCUGCCCAUGUGGUUGUGGAGAGGGUUGCAGCCAAAAUGGUAGCCUUACUAAGUUGCUCAGGAUAACCUCAAACCCCAGGGCUCAAGCCAUUCUCCUGCCUUAGCCUGGCAAGAAGCUGGGACUGUAAGUCUAUGCCACAGCCACAGCAAGAGAAGGUUACAGCCCAAACACGAUGAAUCCCUUGUGCCUGGGACAGCAUGUAGAGACCUCUUGGCUUCGUGGUGUGACACUGUCUUUUUAAGCCUCAGACUCGGAGACUUUUAUUUAUAUGACACGGCAUGUUGGCGACAGGAUUUUACAAACAGAGCACUGGAAGGGGUGGAUAGACUUCCUGGGUAGAGCAGUGGGGGAAUUCCUGUGGCAUCUCAGACAGCUGUGUGACUCUGGUAUCAGGGCGGAGCCCACUGGAUGGAGGCAGCCGGUGUCCUUGAGCCUAUCCACUGAGCCAAUAUGGUACAUGUACACCAACACAUGUAUGUAAUUAAAUGAUGAUGGUGGUGG